rnacentral:rRNA from 1 species
CCUACGGGAGGCAGCAGUGGGGAAUAUUGGACAAUGGGGGGAACCCUGAUCCAGCCAUGCCGCGUGUGUGAAGAAGGCCCUCGGGUUGUAAAGCACUUUCAGUGAGGAAGAACGCCUGGUGGUUAAUACCCAUCAGGAAAGACAUCACUCACAGAAGAAGCACCGGCUAACUCCGUGCCAGCAGCCGCGGUAAUACGGAGGGUGCGAGCGUUAAUCGGAAUUACUGGGCGUAAAGCGCGCGUAGGUGGCUUGAUAAGCCGGUUGUGAAAGCCCCGGGCUCAACCUGGGAACGGCAUCCGGAACUGUCAAGCUAGAGUGCAGGAGAGGAAGGUAGAAUUCCCGGUGUAGCGGUGAAAUGCGUAGAGAUCGGGAGGAAUACCAGUGGCGAAGGCGGCCUUCUGGACUGACACUGACACUGAGGUGCGAAAACGUGGGUAGCAAACAGGAUUAGAUACCCCUGUAGUC